CCUACGGGAGGCAGCAGUGGGGGAUAUUGCACAAUGGGGGAAACCCUGAUGCAGCGACGCCGCGUGAGUGAAGAAGUAUUUCGGUAUGUAAAGCUCUAUCAGCAGUGAAGAUAAUGACGGUACCUGAUUAAGAAGCCCCGGCUAACUACGUGCCAGCAGCCGCGGUAAUACGUAGGGGGCAAGCGUUAUCCGGAUUUACUGGGUGUAAAGGGAGCGUAGGCGGCUGUCCAAGUCUGGAGUGAAAUCCCGGGGCUUAACCCAUGAACUGCUUUUGAACCUGUCCAGCUGGAGUGCAGGAGAGGUAGGUGGAAUUCCUGGUGUAGCGGUGAAAUGCGUAGAUAUUAGGAGGAACACCAGUGGCGAAGGCGGCCUACUGGACUGUAACUGACGUUGAGGCUCGAAAGCGUGGGGAGCAAACAGGAUUAGAUACCCGAGUAGUC
rnacentral:rRNA from 1 species